rnacentral:rRNA from 1 species
UACGUAGGUGGCAAGCGUUAUCCGGAUUUAUUGGGCGUAAAGAGAACGCAGGCGGUCUUUUAAGUCUGAUGUGAAAGCCUUCGGCUUAACCGGAGUAGUGCAUUGGAAACUGGGAGACUUGAGUGCAGAAGAGGAGAGUGGAACUCCAUGUGUAGCGGUGAAAUGCGUAGAUAUAUGGAAGAACACCAGUGGCGAAAGCGGCUCUCUGGUCUGUAACUGACGCUGAGGUUCGAAAGCAUGGGUAGCAAACAGG